rnacentral:sRNA from 1 species
AAGAUGCGGAAGGGGAGCGACUAGGCCGCUUGCGUCUGGGCCUGGCAGAAGGGACCGGGUGGGGAUUUUCUGGCAUCCUUAAAUCUUGUGUCAAGGAUUGGUUAUAAUAUAACCAGAAACCAUGACGGCGGCUGAGAACGUAUGCUACACGUUAAUUAACGUGCCAAUGGAUUCAGAACCACCAUCUGAAAUUAGCUUAAAAAAUGAUCUAGAUUCAUGGAGCCUGCAUUAACUCAAUUGGUUAGGAACCAGAAAUCUAAUCCAGUGCCUUCAUAUUAUAUAUAAAGAGUCUGAUUUCCAGAGAUAAAUGACUUGAGCAAAGACAGCUUAUUUGGUGGAGAACCAGGUGGAGAACCCUUGUCACUUGGAAAAAGGAGAUGUAAAGUCAAAGACUGAAGCUUUGAAGAAAGUAAUCAUUAUGAUUCUGAAUGGUGAAAAGCUUCCUGGACUUCUGAUGACCAUCAUUCGUUUUGUGCUACCUCUUCAGGAUCACACUAUCAAGAAAUUACUUCUGGUAUUUUGGGAAAUUGUUCCUAAAACAACUCUGG